GGGUUGUGAGGUUAAGCGACUAAGCGUACACGGUGGAUGCCCUGGCAGUCAGAGGCGAUGAAGGACGUGCUAAUCUGCGAUAAGCGCCGGUAAGGUGAUAUGAACCGUUAUAACCGGCGAUUUCCGAAUGGGGAAACCCAGUGUGAUUCGUCACACUAUCAUUAACUGAAUCCAUAGGUUAAUGAGGCGAACCGGGGGAACUGAAACAUCUAAGUACCCCGAGGAAAAGAAAUCAACCGAGAUUCCCCCAGUAGCGGCGAGCGAACGGGGAGGAGCCCAGAGCCUGAAUCAGCAUGUGUGUUAGUGGAAGCGUCUGGAAAGGCGCGCGAUACAGGGUGACAGCCCCGUACACAAAAGCGCAUGUGCUGUGAGCUCGAUGAGUAGGGCGGGACACGUGGUAUCCUGUCUGAAUAUGGGGGGACCAUCCUCCAAGGCUAAAUACUCCUGACUGACCGAUAGUGAACCAGUACCGUGAGGGAAAGGCGAAAAGAACCCCGGCGAGGGGAGUGAAAAAGAACCUGAAACCGUGUACGUACAAGCAGUGGGAGCACAGGUUUACCUGUGUGACUGCGUACCUUUUGUAUAAUGGGUCAGCGACUUAUAUUCUGUAGCAAGGUUAACCGAAUAGGGGAGCCGGAGGGAAACCGAGUCUUAAUUGGGCGUUAAGUUGCAGGGUAUAGACCCGAAACCCGGUGAUCUAGCCAUGGGCAGGUUGAAGGUUGGGUAACACUAACUGGAGGACCGAACCGACUAAUGUUGAAAAAUUAGCGGAUGACCUGUGGCUGGGGGUGAAAGGCCAAUCAAACCGGGAGAUAGCUGGUUCUCCCCGAAAGCUAUUUAGGUAGCGCCUCGUGAAUUCAUCUCCGGGGGUAGAGCACUGUUUCGGCUAGGGGGCCAUCCCGGCUUACCAACCCGAUGCAAACUGCGAAUACCGGAGAAUGUUAUCACGGGAGACACACGGCGGGUGCUAACGUCCGUCGUGAAGAGGGAAACAACCCAGACCGCCAGCUAAGGUCCCAAAGUCAUGGUUAAGUGGGAAACGAUGUGGGAAGGCCCAGACAGCCAGGAUGUUGGCUUAGAAGCAGCCAUCAUUUAAAGAAAGCGUAAUAGCUCACUGGUCGAGUCGGCCUGCGCGGAAGAUGUAACGGGGCUAAACCAUGCACCGAAGCUGCGGCAGCGA
rnacentral:rRNA from 2 species